rnacentral:rRNA from 1 species
AUACGUAGGUGGCAAGCGUUGUCCGGAAUUAUUGGGCGUAAAGCGCAUGUAGGCGGUUUGGUAAGUCGGUCGUGAAAAUGCGGUGCUUAACGCCGUAUGGCGAUUGAAACUGCUGAACUUGAGGGCAGGAGAGGAAAGGGGAACUCCCAGUGUAGCGGGGAAAUGCGUAGAUAUUGGGAAGAACACCGGUGGCGAAGGCGCCUUUCUGGACUGUGUCUGACGCUCAGAUGCGAAAGCCAGGGUAGCGAACGGGAUUAGAUACCCCGGUAGUCCUGGCCGUAAACGAUGGGUACUAGGUGUGGGAGGUAUCGACUCCUUCCGUGCCGGAGUUAACGCAAUAAGUACCCCGCCUGGGGAGUACGGCCGCAAGGCUUAAACUCAAAGGAAUUGACGGGG